AAUGCAUUUCCAUUCCCGUCACCAAAACAGCUUUGGUGCCUGUAUGUAAGUCUUCAGAGAGCACGCUUUGGGGCUGUCUUCUGAGCCUGUCAGGGGAGUGAAGAAGCUGCUGAGAUUCCCCUGCAAUCACCUGUCCCCAGGAGCUGCAGCUCCAUGGCUGCUAUCGGGAUAAAUUGAGAUAAAUUUAGCCUGUGCCUGGCUUUUGCUUAUGGCAUCCAUCUUUGCUCCUGAAAAGUUACAGCCUGAGUUGGACGGGACUUGAGAAAUGACAAUAUCAUAGUGCCGAGAGUUACAGAUCAGCGGUCUGCAACCAAGCCGUGUACAGAGGGCUCACUGA
rnacentral:lncRNA from 1 species